UACAGAGGUCUCAAGCGUUGUUCGGAUUCAUUGGGCGUAAAGGGUGCGUAGGCGGCGCAGUAAGUUGGGUGUGAAAUCCCUCGGCUUAACCGAGGAAUUGCGCCCAAAACUACUGUGCUCGAGGGAGGUAGAGGUGAGCGGAACUUAGGGUGGAGCGGUGAAAUGCGUUGAUAUCCUAAGGAACACCGGUGGCGAAAGCGGCUCACUGGACCUCUUCUGACGCUGAGGCACGAAAGCUAGGGUAGCAAACGGG
rnacentral:rRNA from 1 species